GACGAACGCUGGCGGCGUGCUUAACACAUGCAAGUCGAACGGGAUCCAAAGGCUUUUUGUUUUUGGUGAGAGUGGCGAACGGGUGAGUAACACGUGAGUAACCUGCCCCCUUCUUUUGGAUAACCGCAUGAAAGUGUGGCUAAUACAGGAUAUUCCAGGCUGGUCGCAUGAUUGGUUUGGGAAAUGGUUUGGUCUGGUGGGGGAUGGGCUCGCGGCCUAUCAGCUUGUUGGUGGGGUGAUGGCCUACCAAGGCGGUGACGGGUAGCCGGCCUGAGAGGGUGGGCGGUCACACUGGGACUGAGAUACGGCCCAGACUCCUACGGGAGGCAGCAGUGGGGGAUUUUGCACAAUGGGCGCAAGCCUGAUGCAGCGACGCCGCGUGAGGGAUGAAGGCCUUCGGGUUGUAAACCUCUUUCGCUGGGUUGAAAGGCCAUGCUUUGGGUGUGGUUGAUUUGAACUGGUAAAGAAGUACCGGCUAACUACGUG
rnacentral:rRNA from 1 species